rnacentral:misc_RNA from 1 species
ACAAAAAAAAAAAAAAAAAGUACCUGUUGUUCCAAGUAAUGAUUAUCAGUAUUUCUUCUCCAAAAAAUACAUUAAGUCCUACACAAAUUCAAUAUGAACAAGCCACAAUCAAUUACCCACAUUCUCUUAAGCUUGUACCUCUACCUUUUCAAUUUCUGGUUUUGGUUCUUUUUCCUCUGAAGCAGUAGAGUCUGCAUUGCCUUCUGUUCCUGACAAAACAUCAUCAUCCACUACUGGAGGAAUCUUGAACAUAUCAUCAUUUUCCAAAGCUGUGAAUUUCUCUUUUGCUUCUCCUUUCAGUAGCUCGAUAACGUCAAGCAUUGUUGGUCUCUUCUCAGGUCGAUUUUGAGCACAAACGAGAGCAACAAGAACCACUCUUUUGAAUUCUUCCUCCACGUAGUUCCCACUCAACCUUGGGUCUGCAAGUUCACUCAACUUCCCUUCACACACAAGUGGUAGUGCCCAAUCAGUGAUUGUGCGUUUCACAGUUAGAUUGACCUUCUCAAUUGGUUUCUUGCCACUAGCAAGCUCUAGCAAAAGAAUACCAAAGCUGUAAACAUCACAGCUCUCCGAUGCCUUCCCUAACAUUGCAUAUUCUGGUGCAAGAUAGCCUAGAGUGCCUUUUACUCUAGUGGUUACAUGUGUUGCACCAUCUGGGAUGAACUUUGCAAAUCCAAAAUCAGCAACUUGGGCUUGGAAAUCAGAAUCGAGCAGCACGUUGCUUGCUUUGAUGUCUCUGUGGAUGAUA